GGAUGGAAAAAUGUGAGGAUUUUCAUCAGACUCCGAAGGAAGCAACAAAGCGGACCAAGCACCACCUGCCCAUGUUGGUCACUGAACAAGAUCGGAAUCUGCCAUGAAUGAACAUGCACUAUUAAUUGGGGUUUAAAAAAAAGAAGCCUGUACCUCUUAGCCCUGUUGUUAACGAAAAGACACCGGAAACACGUAAAAAGUUAUCACCGAAAGUUUAAUCAGAUGUGCCCCCGAAAUCCAGGAAGAAUCUACCAAUCGGCACGAGAGGGAAGCCACAAAAUGCCAGCAACGUGUCACCACAAAAACCUAAAGAACGCAGUGAACUAACGCCAGCAAGAACAGAAAGAAAGAAAAAUAAUACCCAAGACAAGACCACCAUGGUUACCACCAGCUACAAGUCGAAAGCAAGGUAAAGGAACCAUUCAUGACGCCAAGAAGACACCAGUCAAGAGAACACCAGAAAAACUUCCGCCGACAAUUCCCCAAAUGUCAGCACGUAAAUAUCCAGCUGUCAAUCCCCCUAAAUCCAAGAAGAAUCUACCAAUCAGCACGAGGGGAAAGCCAGAAAAUGCCAGCAGCGUGUCACCCCAAAAACCUAAAGAAUGCAGUGCACCAAGACCAGGAAAAAGCGAAAGACCAAAGGAAGAAAGCAGAAUAAUCCCCAAAACGA
ensembl:lncRNA